rnacentral:tRNA from 1 species
GAGGGUAACAGCUUAGCAGUAGAGUGCAUGCUUAGCAUAUUUGAGGUCCUGGGUUCAAUCCCCAGUACCUCCA